rnacentral:rRNA from 1 species
GUGGGGAAUUUUGGACAAUGGGGGCAACCCUGAUCCAGCAAUGCCGCGUGCAGGAAGAAGGCCUUCGGGUUGUAAACUGCUUUUGUACGGAACGAAACGGUCCUGGUUAAUACCUGGGGCUAAUGACGGUACCGUAAGAAUAAGCACCGGCUAACUACGUGCCAGCAGCCGCGGUAAUACGUAGGGUGCAAGCGUUAAUCGGAAUUACUGGGCGUAAAGCGUGCGCAGGCGGUUUUGUAAGACAGGCGUGAAAUCCCCGGGCUCAACCUGGGAAGGGCGCUUAUGACUGCAACGCUGGAGUGCGGCAGAGGGGGAUGGAAAUCCGCGUGUAGCAGUGAAAUGCGUAGAUAUGCGGAAGAACACCGAUGGCGAAGGCAAUCCCCUGGGCCUGCACUGACGCUCAUGCACGAAAGCGUGGGGAGCAAACAGGAUUAGAAACCCCUGUAGUCC